rnacentral:lncRNA from 1 species
UCAAACCCUAGUCGUUGCCCUCAAUUGCACCCCAAAACCGCCCAAAUCAAUGGUUUCCAAAGCCAUUGGAGGCGUGUAUCCACCUCCCUAGGCUUCUAUGUGUUCAAGUAUCACGGUUUCAAGGCUGAAUACUGGAAAAGUUUGGUGUAGACCUUGGUUGAUUUCAGUUCUAUGUCUGUCUCCGGUCAUCUUUGACUUUGCUCCGGCCAGCCAUGGCUAUUCAAGCCUGAUUCUUGACUUCUCUUGCUUUGAUUGAUGAUUUUCCAAGCCUUCCUCACCAUCUGGGGGUUAUCCUAAAACCUUAACCUUAAGGUUCUCCCGAUUUCUUUUAGAUAUGUUUUAGAUAUGUGUUUGUUCUAAGCUUCUAAACAUUUUUCUCAAGGCUUCUUUCAAACUCUACCUUCGAAACCCC